AGCGAACGCUGGCGGCAGGCCUAACACAUGCAAGUCGAACGAAGUCUUCGGACUUAGUGGCGGACGGGUGAGUAACACGUGGGAACGUACCUUUUGGUUCGGAACAACUCAGGGAAACUUGAGCUAAUACCGGAUGAGCCCUUAGGGGGAAAGAUUUAUCGCCGAAAGAGCGGCCCGCGUUAGAUUAGCUAGUUGGUGAGGUAAAGGCUCACCAAGGCUACGAUCUAUAGCUGGUCUGAGAGGAUGAUCAGCCACACUGGGACUGAGACACGGCCCAGACUCCUACGGGAGGCAGCAGUGGGGAAUCUUGCGCAAUGGGCGAAAGCCUGACGCAGCCAUGCCGCGUGAAUGAUGAAGGUCUUAGGAUUGUAAAAUUCUUUUACCAGGGACGAUAAUGACGGUACCUGGAGAAAAGCCCCGGCUAACUUCGUGCCAGCAGCCGCCGCCG
rnacentral:rRNA from 1 species